rnacentral:rRNA from 1 species
GAUGAACGCUAGCUACAGGCUUAACACAUGCAAGUCGGGGGGCAGCAUGAACUUAGCUUGCUAAGUUUGAUGGCGACCGGCGCACGGGUGAGUAACACGUAUCCAACCUGCCGAUGACUCGGGGAUAGCCUUUCGAAAGAAAGAUUAAUACCCGAUGGCAUAGUUCUUCCGCAUGGUAGAACUAUUAAAGAAUUUCGGUCAUCGAUGGGGAUGCGUUCCAUUAGGUUGUUGGCGGGGUAACGGCCCACCAAGCCUUCGAUGGAUAGGGGUUCUGAGAGGAAGGUCCCCCACAUUGGAACUGAGACACGGUCCAAACUCCUACGGGAGGCAGCAGUGAGGAAUAUUGAUCAAUGGACGAGAGUCUGAACCAGCCAAGUAGCGUGAAGGAUGACUGCCCUAUGGGUUGUAAACUUCUUUUAUACGGGAAUAAAGUGAGGCACGUGUGCCUUUUUGUAUGUACCGUAUGAAUAAGGAUCGGCUAACUCCGUG